AAAGCUGAACAGGUUACCCCUUAGGAUGCUGGAUAAAUCCAUCUAGUACUGAUUUUAUGUUUUAUUCCAUUAUUAUCAAUAGCAUCCCAUGCUAGAAGUCCUCGGGGGUGCAUCUAAAAUUGGUGAAGGGUUAAAUGGUUGUUGUAAUGCUA